ACAAUGGCCGACUAGGGUUCCGGCUCGUCCGAUGACGAGUGGCUGGUCCGAGAGUGGGCGACCUCAUCAGCGGCGGGGAGCCGCGAGGUUACACGGCGGGACAAAAGCCCGGGAGAA
rnacentral:sRNA from 10 species